rnacentral:rRNA from 1 species
UCCCAGUUCGGAUUGUAGUCUGCAACCCGACUACAUGAAGCUGGAAUCGCUAGUAAUCGCGAGUCAGAAUGUCGCGGUGAAUACGUUCCCGGGUCUUGUACACACCGCCCGUCACACCAUGGGAGUCGGAAAUGCCCGAAGUCAGUGACCCAACCGCAAGGAGGGAGCUGCCGAAGGUGGAGCCGGUAACUGGGGUGAAGUCGUAACAAGGUAUC